AUCGCUUCUCAGCCUUUUGGCUAAGAUCAAGUGUAGAUACCAUUGUAUUAAUUAUAAGAAUUUAUUAUAGUGUAUUUCUUCUGAAACUAUCCUUU
ensembl:snRNA U2 U2 spliceosomal RNA